rnacentral:rRNA from 1 species
GGACCCGCACAAGCAGUGGAGCAUGUGGUUUAAUUCGAUGAUACGCGAGGAACCUUACCAGGGCUUAAAUGUAGUGGGACAGGUCUAGAGAUAGACCCUUCUUCGGACUCAUUACAAGGUGCUGCAUGGUUGUCGUCAGCUCGUGCCGUGAGGUGUCAGGUUAAGUCCUAUAACGAGCGCAACCCCUAUCGUUAGUUGCCAGCGGGUCAUGCCGGGAACUCUAGCGAAACUGCCGGUGCAAACCGUGAGGAAGGUGGGGAUGACGUCAAAUCAUCACGGCCCUUAUGUCCAGGGCUGCACGCAUGCUACAAUGGCAAGUACAACGAGUCGCAAUACCGCGAGGUGGAGCAAAUCUCUUAAAGCUUGUCUCAGUUCGGAUAGGAGUCUGCAACUCGACUCCUUGAAGUUGGAGUCGCUAGUAAUCG